AGACCCGAAACCCGGUGAUCUAGCCAUGGGCAGGUUGAAGGUUGGGUAACACUAACUGGAGGACCGAACCGACUAAUGUUGAAAAAUUAGCGGAUGACCUGUGGCUGGGGGUGAAAGGCCAAUCAAACCGGGAGAUAGCUGGUUCUCCCCGAAAGCUAUUUAGGUAGCGCCUCGUGAAUUCAUCUCCGGGGGUAGAGCACUGUUUCGGCUAGGGGGCCAUCCCGGCUUACCAACCCGAUGCAAACUGCGAAUACCGGAGAAUGUUAUCACGGGAGACACACGGCGGGUGCUAACGUCCGUCGUGAAGAGGGAAACAACCCAGACCGCCAGCUAAGGUCCCAAAGUCAUGGUUAAGUGGGAAACGAUGUGGGAAGGCCCAGACAGCCAGGAUGUUGGCUUAGAAGCAGCCAUCAUUUAAAGAAAGCGUAAUAGCUCACUGGUCGAGUCGGCCUGCGCGGAAGAUGUAACGGGGCUAAACCAUGCACCGAAGCUGCGGCAGCGACACUCAGGUGUUGUUGGGUAGGGGAGCGUUCUGUAAGCCUGCGAAGGUGGCCUGUGAGGGUUGCUGGAGGUAUCAGAAGUGCGAAUGCUGACAUAAGUAACGAUAAAGCGGGUGAAAAGCCCGCUCGCCGGAAGACCAAGGGUUCCUGUCCAACGUUAAUCGGGGCAGGGUGAGUCGACCCCUAAGGCGAGGCCGAAAGGCGUAGUCGAUGGGAAACGGGUUAAUAUUCCCGUACUUGGUGUUACUGCGAAGGGGGGACGGAGAAGGCUAUGUUGGCCGGGCGACGGUUGUCCCGGUUUAAGCGUGUAGGUGUGUGUUCCAGGUAAAUCCGGUUCACUUUAACACUGAGGCGUGAUGACGAGGCACUACGGUGCUGAAGCAACAAAUGCCCUGCUUCCAGGAAAAGCCUCUAAGCAUCAGGUAACAUCAAAUCGUACCCCAAACCGACACAGGUGGUCAGGUAGAGAAUACCAAGGCGCUUGAGAGAACUCGGGUGAAGGAACUAGGCAAAAUGGUGCCGUAACUUCGGGAGAAGGCACGCUGACACGUAGGUGAAGUGAUUUACUCAUGGAGCUGAAGUCAGUCGAAGAUACCAGCUGGCUGCAACUGUUUAUUAAAAACACAGCACUGUGCAAACACGAAAGUGGACGUAUACGGUGUGACGCCUGCCCGGUGCCGGAAGGUUAAUUGAUGGGGUCAGCGCAAGCGAAGCUCCUGAUCGAAGCCCCGGUAAACGGCGGCCGUAACUAUAACGGUCCUAAGGUAGCGAAAUUCCUUGUCGGGUAAGUUCCGACCUGCACGAAUGGCGUAAUGAUGGCCAGGCUGUCUCCACCCGAGACUCAGUGAAAUUGAACUCGCUGUGAAGAUGCAGUGUACCCGCGGCAAGACGGAAAGACCCCGUGAACCUUUACUAUAGCUUGACACUGAACAUUGAGCCUUGAUGUGUAGGAUAGGUGGGAGGCUUUGAAGUGUGGACGCCAGUCUGCAUGGAGCCGGCCUUGAAAUACCACCCUUUAAUGUUU
rnacentral:rRNA from 1 species